CCUAGUAACGGCGAGUGAACGGAGAUUAGCCCAGCACCGAAGCCUACUUACUUUUGUGAGCAAGGCAAUGUGGUGUUUAGGUAUGUGCCUGGGAUGAGUUGCUUGCUUGAAGUCCAUCUCCGAUUAUGGCUUUGGAUUUGUUCCAUAGAGGGUGAAAGGCCCGUUCGAGCAGGCUUGGUGUUGUCUCGUCCUUAGAUGCAUGUACCUAUGAGUCGGAUUGCUUGAGAAUGCAGUCCAAAGUGGGUGGUAAACUCCAUCCAAGGCUAAAUACUGGCACGAGUCCGAUAGUAGACAAGUACCGUGAGGGAAAGUUGAAAAGUACUCUGAAGAGAGAGUAAAUAGUACGUGAAACCGCUUGGAUGGAAGCUGGUGGAGUCAAGCUUUGCGUUUGAUGAAUUGGUGCGGAGACAUUGUGUUACUGGCUUGGUGUGGUAUAAGCACUAAACUGCUUGGCGGUACGCCGCCUUGAGUUUUUGGGAAUUGAGCUCAUUGCCGCAUUCUAGUCGUGUUCUCGUACCGUUUUGUCUUAUGCGUACCAUGGUCAAUGUGCUCGUGGUGUAUGAUACUCUAACCGUACUUCGGUGGAAUCUAUUCCGCCGAGUGCGGGAUGGCAGGUGGUUGUGAUGUUGCUCUGCUUCAUUGCAGCUUAUAGUGGAUAUUCUUGCCGAGUAUUGUGUUUUGUUACCAUCUGGUGCAUUGUUGCUAGUUCAAGUAUUUACAAAUGUUGAUGCUUGUGAGAGCCAUGGUUUGUAGUAGACGUUCCACCCGACCCGUCUUGAAACACGGACCAAGGAGUUUAACUUAUAUGCGAGUCAUUGGGAUUCUACGAAACCCAAAGGCGUAAUGAAAGUAAAUGGUUACUUAUCGUAGCCAGAGGUGUGAUUCUUGUGUUCUCUUAACAGAGCCGCAGGACGUAACACCGGCCCGUCUCGUUAUGUAGUCAUUCUGGUUACGGCUAGUUUGCAUCAUAGUGGCGGAGCAAGAGCAUAUAGGUUGAGACCCGAAAGAUGGUGAACUAUGCUUGCGUAGGUCGAAGCCAGAGGAAACUCUGGUGGAAGACCGUCGCGGUUUUGACGUGCAAAUCGAUCGUCAAACGUGAGCAUAGGGGCGAAAGACUAAUCGAACCAUCUAGUAGCUGGUUCCCUCCGAAGUUUCCCUCAGGAUAGCUGGCACUCGCUAUACACAGUUUUAUCCGGUAAAGCGAAUGAUUAGAGGUAUUGGGGACUACAUGACCUCAACCUAUUCUCAAACUUUAAAUGGGUACGAUGCUUGGCUCGCUUAAUUGGAGUCGUGCAUUGAAUGUGAGUGCCAAGUGGGCCAUUUUUGGUAAGCAGAACUGGCGCUGUGGGAUGCUCCGAACGUUGAGAUAAGGUGCCCAAUAUUGACGCUCAUGAGACACCACAAAAGGUGUUAAUGCAUAUAGACAGCAGGACGGUGGCCAUGAAAGUCGGAAUCCG
rnacentral:rRNA from 1 species